UACGGAGGGUGCAAGCGUUAAUCGGAUUUAUUGGGCGUAAAGAGCACGUAGGCGGAGUGGUAAGUUAGAUGUGAAAUCCCGGGGCUCAACUCCGGACCCGCAUCUAAAACUCCCAUUCUAGAGGAUGGACGGAGAAAAGGGAAUUCCACGUGUAGCGGUGAAAUGCGUAGAUAUGUGGAAGAACACCGGUGGCGAAGGCGCUUUUCUAGUUUAUUCCUGACGCUGAGGUGCGAAAGCAAGGGGAGCAAACAGG
rnacentral:rRNA from 1 species